UUUAAUAUUUAAAAAAAAAAAAAAAAUUCAGGAAAGUUCAAAAGAACAGCAUUUAUCUGAAAUAGAAACCUUGAGUAACAUUAUAUGACUUUUUGAUCAACUUACCACAACCUUGUUUAAUACAUUUGUUUACAAAAAUCCUAUUGCCCCCAACCUUCUGAAUAGAGUGUGUGUGUGUAUACAAACAUAUUAUUAUUAACCAGACGUUAUUAUGGCCAUAGUUUUGGGGAUUUUGUACUUUUUGUUAUACAAGAAUUUAUUAUAUCAUAAUUAUUUACCUCUCACUCAUUAUGUAUAACAUCUACCUUUCCUUGAAAUUUCAGUGGACUAUUUCAUCCAAACUCAGACUUCUAAGAAAAAUAAA